rnacentral:rRNA from 1 species
GUGCCAGCAGCCGCGGUAAGACGAACCGUGCGAACGUUGUUCGGAUUCACUGGGCUUAAAGGGCGCGUAGGCGGGCCAUCAAGUCCGGGGUGAAAUCCUCCAACUUAACUGGAGAACAGCCUUGGAUACUGGUGGUCUGGAGGAAGGUAGGGGCAUGUGGAACUUCCGGUGGAGCGGUGAAAUGCGUAGAUAUCGGAAGGAACGCCGGUGGCGAAAGCGACGUGCUGGACCUUUUCUGACGCUGAGGCGCGAAAGCCAGGGGAGCAAACGGGAUUAGAUACCCGCGUAGUCC